AUUGUUUUUGAAAUGGUUAAUGUCUACCUUAGAUAUGAAUAUAUUUACAAACUCACUUAGUAAUACCAUGAAUACGGUAAGACAUGUUAAGAUAUGGGAUGAUGUACAUUUAUGUCAUUUGUUUUGUAUUGAAGCGUAUAAAGACCACAGUACUAUUUUUUUUAUUUUCAUUUUCGAUUUUGAACAUAUAAUCAUGAUAUUUUUAGCUGAUAUAUUGAGACUAUUAUCAUUAAUGGGUCAUUAGCUGUAAAAAAAAUGUUUACCGAUUUGACCCAAAUUCUUAUAUUGAUUUAUAACAUACUAAAAUGUAUAUUCAAAUUACGAUAUAAGAAAUUAACUAAGCAUGGACUCGUUAUAAUAAAUAAACAUUUGUUUUCUCAGGUGGUAAAGGAUUCAAACUAAUGCAUGGUACAGUCAGGGUGACCACUCAUCUAGGGACAUGUCUUCCAAUUGAGUGUCUUUGAAAUAAUCAACAGUAGCAAAAGAAUAGCAUUCCAGCAGAGUUCAAAUAUGAAACUUUAUGUAAUAAUGUCAAGAUAAUAAAAGUAAUAUAACAACUAGAUAUCUCAAGUAA
rnacentral:lncRNA from 1 species